GCCAUCGACAAGAUGGAGGAAGGUGGGGAUGACGUCAAGUCAUCAUGGCCCUUAUGUCCAGGGCGACACACGUGCUACAAUGGCCGGCACAACGGGAAGCGAGUUCGCGAGGACGAGCGGAUCCCUCAAAGCCGGUCGCAGUUCGGAUUGAAGUCUGCAACUCGACUUCAUGAAGCUGGAAUCGCUAGUAAUCGUGGAUCAGUCAAGCCGCGGUGAAUACGUUCCCGGGCCUU
rnacentral:rRNA from 1 species